GGGAAUAUUGCACAAUGGGCGCAAGCCUGAUGCAGCGACGCCGCGUGAGGGAUGACGGCCUUCGGGUUGUAAACCUCUUUCAGCAGGGAAGAAGCGAAAGUGACGGUACCUGCAGAAGAAGCGCCGGCUAACUACGUGCCAGCAGCCGCGGUAAUACGUAGGGCGCAAGCGUUGUCCGGAAUUAUUGGGCGUAAAGAGCUCGUAGGCGGCUUGUCGCGUCUGCUGUGAAAGCCCGGGGCUUAACCCCGGGUGUGCAGUGGGUACGGGCAGGCUAGAGUGCAGUAGGGGAGACUGGAAUUCCUGGUGUAGCGGUGAAAUGCGCAGAUAUCAGGAGGAACACCGAUGGCGAAGGCAGGUCUCUGGGCUGUUACUGACGCUGAGGAGCGAAAGCAUGGGGAGCGAACAGGAUUAGAUACCCUGGUAGUCCAUGCCGUAAACGUUGGGCACUAGGUGUGGGGGACAUUCCACGUUUUCCGCGCCGUAGCUAACGCAUUAAGUGCCCCGCCUGGGGAGUACGGCCGCAAGGCUAAAACUCAAAGGAAUUGACGGGGGCCCGCACAAGCGGCGGAGCAUGCGGAUUAAUUCGAUGCAACGCGAAGAACCUUACCAAGGCUUGACAUACACCGGAUCGCAGCAGAGAUGUUGUUUCCCCUUUGGGGCUGGUGUACAGGUGGUGCAUGGUUGUCGUCAGCUCGUGUCGUGAGAUGUUGGGUUAAGUCCCGCAACGAGCGCAACCCUCGUUCUAUGUUGCCAGCACGUGAUGGUGGGGACUCAUAGGAGACUGCCGGGGUCAACUCGGAGGAAGGUGGGGAUGACGUCAAAUCAUCAUGCCCCUUAUGUCUUGGGCUUCACGCAUGCUACAAUGGCCGGUACAAUGGGUUGCGAUACUGUGAGGUGGAGCUAAUCCCAAAAAGCCGGUCUCAGUUCGGAUUGGGGUCUGCAACUCGACCCCAUGAAGUCGGAGUCGCUAGUAAUCGCAGAUCAGCAACGCUGCGGUGAAUACGUUCCCGGGCCUUGUACACACCGCCCGUCAAGUCACGAAAGUUGGUAACACCCGAAGCC
rnacentral:rRNA from 2 species